UACGGGGGGUGCGAGCGUUGUCCGGAAUCACUGGGCGUAAAGGGCGCGUAGGUGGUCUGAUAAGGGGGUGGUGAAAGUCCGGGGCUCAACCCCGGAUCUGCCGUGCCGACUGUCAGACUCGAGGACUGUAGAGGCAGGCGGAAUUCCGGGUGUAGCGGUGGAAUGCGUAGAGAUCCGGAGGAAGACCGGUGGCGAAGGCGGCCUGCUGGGCAGUUUCUGACACUGAGGCGCGACAGCGUGGGGAGCAAACAGG
rnacentral:rRNA from 1 species